rnacentral:sRNA from 1 species
UGCCGGUCCGAAUUCAGCGGUGUUCACAACUAAUCGAUCACGGCCAGUUGCAGAUGCCUGUGUUCCUUCUCCACUCCGCCGUUUCUCUCGACCAGCCUUAC